rnacentral:rRNA from 1 species
AAUAUUGGACAAUGGGCGAAAGCCUGAUCCAGCCAUGCCGCGUGUGUGAAGAAGGUCUUCGGAUUGUAAAGCACUUUAUGUUGGGAGGAAGGGCAGUAAGUUAAUACCUUUCUGUUUUGACGUUACCGACAGAAUAAGAACCGGCUAACUUCGUGCCAGCAGCCUCGGUAAUACGAAGGGUGCAAGCGUUAAUCGGAAUUACUGGGCGUAAAGCGCGCGUAGGUGGUUUGUUAAGUGGGAAGUGGAAGCGCCGGGCUCAACCUGGGAACUGCUUUCAAAACUGGCAAGCUAGAGUAUGGUAGAGGGUAGUGGAAUUUCCUGUGUAGCGGUGAAAUGCGUAGAUAUAGGAAGGAACAGCAGUGGCGAAGGCGACUACCUGGACUGAUACUGGCACUGAGGUGCGAAAGCGUGGGGAGCAAACAGG